UUCUAGCGCACUCGAGCUGGUUUCUCCAUUCUUACCUGAUUCUUACCUAUGAUUCUUACCCUACCUUUAAGCACGAGGAGAGGAAGUGAAAAAACUGUAGGUCACAUGACACAGAAGAAAUGACAUCAUCAAGCCAUGUGCUACUGCCAUAGGUAGACAAAGGUAAGUCAUUUAUUUUACUUAACAUAUUUUCCUUAUCUUUUCUCUCUUGAACGAACGUGGCCCUCUAACCAACGCAACCUUGUUACUCAUAUCAUCAGAAUAAAUCAUUCUUUAGUUAAAAUCACAAGUUUGUCCUUGCCUUGAAGUAGCUUUACAUUCUCCACUCCAGCUAGCAUUAAUUCCUGAGGUUCAAGCUAACAUUAGCAUUGAUUUUCAACCCUGCUUCCCUCAAUUCCACAGCAUAUUUUUUUACAAUUCAGAAUGACUUACAUUUCUAUCGUGCUCAGUCGUCACAUCAGUGCUUUGAAAAUGACUUCUCCAAGCCACAUCAGUCGGACUCCUUCUUAGUUUUCGAUUCCCAAACGUUUUCCUCUGUGUACCGGUCAGACUCUUGUGUUGUGCAAACGACUCCCUGUUCUUUUGCUCAGUUGCCAACCCGUUCCCCAUCCCGACUCGACUCUACUCGUCCUCUUACAAAACAACAAUGGCUACACAGAUGAUCAUUGUUACCUAAUGAGUCAUGAUAUUCAGUCGCACCGUGAACACGCCCUUAAAAAAAAAAUCAUAAACACCUCUCACCUCAAUCUUUUGAGUUCCAUUUGCGUUUGCAUCACCGAACCAAAACAACCACGCAUACUCCUCACUGGCACAUCAGGUACAUUUGCGAAAAUGAAAAUUCAACUCCGAGUAAGUGGACCCAGAGGAGAGGAAAAGGUCAUCGAUGUGUGCGAAAAUGAAGAGGAUUUAAAGAAGAUCACUGUAAAGCAGCUGAGGGAGAAGAUUACUCGAGAACUAGAGAUAAGUGCAGACCUCCGGAUGGUGUACAGAACCAAGCAGCUGGAGGAGUCUGACCUGCUGUUAUCCUAUGGGAUCCGACACAUGUCCACCAUCCAUACGCUGCUUAUGCUGCCCGGAGGCAUAAUAGGAUGAAGACGCAGGGGAGAAAAAAAGACUCUUAACAACAAUGACCAUCAUUUAAAACCAAAAACUAUGAAGAUUGUAAUGUAAAAAACUAAGCUUUUGUGCUUGCAUAUGUCCUCUAUCCUUUGUUUUAGGCUUAAAUAAAUGUCCUUAAUAUGCUAA